GAUUGAACGCUGGCGGCAUGCUUUACACAUGCAAGUCGAACGGCAGCACGGGUGCUUGCACCUGGUGGCGAGUGGCGAACGGGUGAGUAAUGCACCGGAACGUACCCAGUAAUGGGGGAUAACACAUCGAAAGAUGUGCUAAUACCGCAUACGCCCUGAGGGGGAAAGCGGGGGAUCGUAAGACCUCGCGUUAUUGGAGCGGCCGAUGCCGGAUUAGCUAGUUGGUGAGGUAAGAGCUCACCAAGGCGACGAUCCGUAGCUGGUCUGAGAGGACGACCAGCCACACUGGGACUGAGACACGGCCCAGACUCCUACGGGAGGCAGCAGUGGGGAAUUUUGGACAAUGGGCGCAAGCCUGAUCCAGCCAUGCCGCGUGAGUGAAGAAGGCCUUCGGGUUGUAAAGCUCUUUGGCAAGGAAAGAAAACUUAUCU
rnacentral:rRNA from 1 species